GAAUGGAUGUUUUUGGUGGUUUAUUUGCCAUUAACUACUCAUGUUCCAGCUGGUAUGUGCAGACAAUCAAUUAAUUAUGAGCAAAGGAAGUUUUUAGAGGAUAAUUUCUCCUUGAAAGAGGUGAGAUUUAUGCUUAAAUCCCAGCAGAGCCAAGUGUGUGUCUUGCAGCUGAGUUUGCCCGUGGUCACAAGGUCGUUUAACAGAGGAUCACAGGAAUCCUGGAGGCUGCAGCAGGAGAUUUCCCCUCUGGAAGAAACAAAAAGCUGUGAAUGUCCUGAUCAAUUUGCUUUGUGAAAUCCUACUCAAGUGGGAAUUUAUGUGGAUGCUUCACAUGCUUGGGUGUUGUGGUUGGAAUGGAAAUUCCAGCAAUGCAGGGGGUGAAGCACAGAGUAAAACAGGGAUCCUGACACUGGAACAUCCCACUGAGCGUGGAAUUGCCACCAGCUGGGAUGACUUGGGAAAGCGCUUGGAAAUCCUACUCCUGAAAGCACCAGGAUGUGGAGGGAACAAGAGAAUUCCUGGGUAACGUGCCAAAAAUGGGACAAAAGCACAGCAGUGCAGUGCCCAGCCAUGCACAGGGUACAAAAGGGGGUUCCCAAAGGCUGAG